rnacentral:lncRNA from 1 species
GGCACCACAGGUAUAUUAUUGCAUUUGUUUUAUUCAUAAGUGGCCUCUAAAAUGGAGAAAUUCAUCCUCUGGAGCUGUGGGCAGAGGUGCUAUAGCUGGAUGCACACUACACUCUCUGUGCUGGCUGUUUAGCACUGAGAUAUCUGUGCCUGUGAUGAAGCAAAUAUCAUGUUCCUGUGUUCCCAUUGUUGGCUUCCUUUCCAGAAUUACCUUCUCUCACAAUCAGAAGAUGGGUACUACUUACUUGGUCUCAGAUACUCUCCAGAGGAGCAGAAGUGGAAGUGGAUCAACAAGGUGGAACAUGACCCAGCCAUGUGAGCUCAUCCCAGCAAGUCCCUGCCAUGCAAUGUCUGGGAAGGGGAAAAUGCCAAAGGCAGAGCAAAGAGCAGAGAGCCCAAGGGAGAUGAGGGGCUGUGGUUUGGGGGAAGCUGAUUCCUUGAGAUGCAGGUGCUUGAGCACAUGGCUGUGCCCAGGCAAGGGAGCCUUUCAGUGCCAGGGAACACAGGGCUGUCCUGUGAGGAUGGCAGGAGAGGACACAGCUGUGCUUCUGCUGGGCAAGGAAGGAUGUGAGUGGAUGCAGUUGCCUGGGGAAAGGAAGGAGACAGGAGGCAGGGACAAGAGAGAGGGUGAUGUCAGCACCAUGGGCUGCAGGGGAGCAAAGCAGGGAAUGUGUCUGGAUGGGAAAGCAUUGCCCAGAAACUUUUGUGGAGAUGUGGGGGCAAAAGUGAGGAAUGGGAGGGAGAUUGCAGCAAGGCAGUUCCUGAUGCCAGUGAGAGUAACAGAGCUUAGCAGGUGCCACUGUGCCUUUGACUGCAUGUCAGGAAUGUAAUCACAUUUGACUUUUUUCCCCUCAUCAGGUUUGCUAUAAGCAGACGUUAUAGUGACUAUCACUGCACGUACAUUGGAUUUGGUAAAGUAGGAACUGCACCUUGUUAUAGAAGAUACACAGUACAAACUAUGUGUGAAAAAGCUGCAACAAUGUCAGAAAGGCAUCAGAAGAAGAGCUAAAACCAAGAGCUCCAGGCUGAGAUGUUAUCCCAGCUUCCUGUAGCAAAGGUGGAUGGGAUGUGUCUCAUUUCUCUCUAGCUGCCCAGUCUCUGCUCCCAGGCUCUCCUGCAGCCCCUCCAGACUCAUGGCCCAGCCCAGCCCAGCCUUUCCCUGCUGCUGUGUGAGCCUGGCUGGAUCCCCUCUGGAAGAGCUGCCUCUGGCACACAGGAGGAGUCUGGCACUGUCUCAUGCCAGGGGUGGCACUUGCAGGCAGGCAGUGCCAGGGGAGAGGAGUCCAGGCUGGGGCCAGGGCUGAUCCCAAACAGAUGCUGACUCUGCAGGUCACAGCCAUGCACAGCCCUGUGCUCCCAGCCCUGCCUGUGCCCGAGGAGACCCUUCCCCAGCUGGCCACAGCCUGGCCUCGCCUGCAGCCACAAGGGAAGGGCAGCAGAGAUUUCUGCUUGGGGUCUGGUGGGGAAGGGCAGCCCCAGUCCUUGGCAGGAUGGACAGGACAAAGUCAGGGGUGGGUGUGGAUAAACCUUCCCCUGUCCCAGACUGUUCCAUGAGCACGUGGAGGAAAUGGGAAUCAGCCCAAUGGAAAGGAUCCUACAGCAGCAAGCUCUGGGCAUGAAAUCAGCCCCAGUCCUGUGUGGAGUGUCAGAUUUAGGAUGUGCUGGGAAAGGGCACAGGAUGGAGAGCAGCAGAGAGCAGCAAGGCCUGAAGAACAGAGUCCCAAGAGGAGCUGAGCUGGACAGAAAACAGAACAAUGAAAGCCCCAGUGAGCUGUGAAGGAGCUGGUGAGAAGUAUGAGAGUGACCCCCAGGCAAUGGCAGCACCGUGCUCUGCCCUCUUUUCCUUGGAGAUUGAGCACAGGACAGGGCAGAUCCAUUGAUGUGCUCUGGGUCCCCCAGAGAGCUCCACUCCCCUGCCUGGGCUGACUGCUGGGCCCCUGCACAGCUCAUCUCCUUUCCAUUGCAAGGAAUAAAGCUUUUCUUUUCCAAACACAAAGCAGUGCUUGUGUGAGAGUGUGUGAUGCUUUGGGAACUCAAGACACUUCCAAUGCCAGCACCACUUCCCAACACAGGUGACUUCAGAGGGGUCAUGAACUUAUCAGAAGAUGAACUAUAAAUAGACUUCUCCUUUCAUUAGAAGUUUAUGCGUGACCGGAUGAGUCAAGCACUUCCUUCUGAGGGUUAGAAAGAGGAGGGAGCUCUGAGUUGUACCCAGCCCAGAGUGAAUCUCAGAACAGCCGAGGGGAGGGAAACAGGAGAAGAAUGAACAAGAAUGGCAGAAAAUGUCCUUUAUGCUGACUUGAACUUGCCUGACCCAAGCAGACCCAGAAUCCUGACGGUCCCUGAUGUCCCAGGUAGGUCCAGUGCUGAGCACUGAGCUUUCUUUGCAUUCCCUGGUCUCUAUUCCACAUCUGUUGAGAGAGUUCCUUGGAGCACCAAAGUCCCAAAGAGCACAAGAGAAGCAUGAGGGCCAGAGCUGGAAACCUGCAGCUGGAGUGUCCAGACAGGAUUGUUUGUAUUUACACAGACAAGUUGUUAUCAGAUCUACGUUUCUCUUGCUAAGGUGCAAGUGUGAGGCAGUGUCUCUGGUGUGAUAUUGAGAGUAGUUUUUGUCCAUUUUGGAGACUGUUCCAGAGCUGAACAUCCAUUGCUCCUGGCCCAGGCCUGGUGUCCCCCAGCAGAGUGAGAUUCCUGCAGCAAAGUGCUGAGGAUGGAGUGGCUGCUGGUGCUGGAGUUUGCAGCAUCUCCUGCACAGCUGUUCCUGCUCCCUGAGCACAGCAGGCAUUGCCUGGGGGCUUCUGCUGCUGCUCUGGCUGUAAAACUGCUUGUGUAAUGCCCAGGUGUGAAAUGUUUCAUGGACAGGUUUAGUCUGACUUGGGAUCAAACACUUUGCAAAACUCUGACCAAGGAUCUGUCUUCCUUUAACGUGUUGAAAAUUGCUACAGAAACGCUUUUGCUUUUUUUGCAAUAUCUGCUAAGAAGUACAUCAUAAAAAAUAACAGACUUCAUACAAUGUCUUUCUGUAUUUAAUUUUCAUUUUUCUUUCCUUUCUUUCUAACCCUUCUUUCACACUGACAGAAAUUACUUCUUGCCAUCCAGUGCUUGUCUUCUGCACGAAGUGUGAACCCUCGUCAUGUGUUUCCAGAUGGGUGGAGUUAUGAACACCCCAGGAA